GUACGGUGGGCGGGCCGUGGUGCUCGGGAAGACCGGUGACAGUCCCUCACUGUUGGGGGACUCAGGCCGGAGCGGCCCUCGCCACUGUGAUCGGGGAGUUGCCGUCCCAGCAGUGCAUGGUCACUGUCCGCCGUCCGGCGGAUGGGAAGACCGGGACGGACACGCGCGUACCCGUAAGCCAGGAGACCGGCCACGGCACUUCACGAAGU
rnacentral:ncRNA from 2 species